CUGGCGGCAGCGCUCCUUCUCCAGGGUCAGGCAAAUCAGGCCGCGACCGUGGGUCGCCAUGAAGUUGAUGGCCGCAGGCGUCGCCGCCUCGGCCGCCAUCAGCA
rnacentral:antisense_RNA from 1 species